rnacentral:rRNA from 1 species
UACGUAGGGUGCAAGCGUUGUCCGGAAUUAUUGGGCGUAAAGAGCGUGUAGGCGGUGCGGUACGGUUUCGGUGAAAUCCCUCGGCCCAACCGAGGAACAGCCGGGGCUACGGCCGCACUAGACGGCAUCAGGGGACAGUGGAACUCCCGGUGGAGCGGUGAAAUGCGUAGAUAUCGGGAGGAACGCCGGUGGCGAAAGCGACUGUCUGGGGUGCUUGUGACGCUGAGGCGCGAAAGCCAGGGGAUCAAACGGG